rnacentral:rRNA from 1 species
AUUGUAUCCACGAUUGGGGAAUUUUCCGCAAUGGGCGAAAGCCUGACGGAGUAAUACCGCGUGAGGGAAGACGCUCUGUGGAGUGUAAACCUCUUUUAUUGGGGAAGAACACAAUGACGGUACCCAAUGAAUCAGCCUCGGCUAACUCCGUGCCAGCAGCCGCGGUAAUACGGAGGAUGCAAGCGUUAUCCGGAAUGAUUGGGCGUAAAGCGUCCGCAGGUGGCUUAUCAAGUCGAUUGUCAAAGGUCCUGGCUCAACUGGGAACAGGCAGUGGAAACUGAAAAGCUAGAGUGCGGUAGGGGUAGAGGGAAUUCCCGGUGUAGCGGUGAAAUGCGUAGAUAUCGGGAAGAACACCAGUGGCGAAAGCGCUCUACUAGGCCUGCACUGACACUCAUGGACGAAAGCUAGGGGAGCGAAUGGGAUUAGAUACCCCAGUAGUCAAUCGUGGAUACAAU